rnacentral:rRNA from 1 species
AGUCGAACGGUCUCUUCGGAGAUAGUGGCGGACGGGUGAGUAACGCGUGAGAAUCUAGCUUCAGGUCGGGGACAACCACUGGAAACGGUGGCUAAUACCGGAUGUGCCGAAAGGUGAAAGAUUUAUUGCCUGAAGAUGAGCUCGCGUCUGAUUAGCUAGUUGGUGUGGUAAGAGCGCACCAAGGCGACGAUCAGUAGCUGGUCUGAGAGGAUGAUCAGCCACACUGGGACUGAGACACGGCCCAGACUCCUACGGGAGGCAGCAGUGGGGAAUUUUCCGCAAUGGGCGAAAGCCUGACGGAGCAAUACCGCGUGAGGGAGGAAGGCUCUUGGGUUGUAAACCUCUUUUCUCAGGGAAUAAAAAAAUGAAGGUACCUGAGGAAUAAGCAUCGGCUAACUCCGUGCCAGCAGCCGCGGUAAUACGGAGGAUGCAAGCGUUAUCCGGAAUGAUUGGGCGUAAAGCGUCCGCAGGUGGCACUGUAAGUCUGCUGUUAAAGAGCAAGGCUCAACCUUGUAAAGGCAGUGGAAACUACAGAGCUAGAGUACGUUCGGGGCAGAGGGAAUUCCUGGUGUAGCGGUGAAAUGCGUAGAGAUCAGGAAGAACACCGGUGGCGAAGCGCUCUGCUAGGCCGUAACUGACACUGAGGGACGAAAGCUAGGGGAGCGAAUGGGAUUAGAUACCCCAGUAGUCCUAGCCGUAAACGAUGGAUACUAGGCGUGGCUUGUAUCGACCCGAGCCGUGCCGGAGCCAACGCGUUAAGUAUCCCGCCUGGGGAGUACGCACGCAAGUGUGAAACUC